rnacentral:rRNA from 1 species
CAGCCGCCGCGGUAUACGUAGUGGCAAGCGUUGUCCGGAUUUAUUGGGCGUAAAGCGAGUGCAGGCGGCUCGAUAAGUCUGAUGUGAAAGCCUUCGGCUCAACCGGAGAAUUGCAUCAGAAACUGUCGAGCUUGAGUACAGAAGAGGGGAGUGGAACUCCAUGUGUAGCGGUGAAAUGCGUAAUAUAUGGAAGAACACCGGUGGCGAAGGCGGCUCUCUGGUCUGUUACUGACGCUGAGGCUCGAAAGCAUGGGUAGCGGACAGGAUUAAUACCCUGGUAGUCAAGGGCGAAUUCGC